UCCCCGGUUGGUCUGCCGGCAGGGCCCGCCUGACUUUGAAUCAGGAUCAGCGACAGUGGUUCGACUCCACUCCGGGGAG
rnacentral:tRNA from 1 species